CCACUGCUGAGGAGUCCCAUAAUAGGACGAAACGCCCGUCCAGUGC
rnacentral:hammerhead_ribozyme from 1 species